CAAGAAAAUAUUGGAAAAUGUAAACUGUGGGUGAACUUCUCAUGGACUAGAAAGCUAAGCUGACUCCCAGAGCAUCCCCUCUAAAUGGGAGGUGGGAACAGUAUACAACUGCUCUGAAGUCAGCAACCCAUAUGCCUUGACAUGGCUUGCGUUUCUGUGUCCUCAGGCAGAGACAGGGGGUUACAGUUGACUGUCUCUAACCAGCACUGCUGUGUUUUCCUUUGCAUCACCACAGAACAGUGUGGCCACAUGUUGUGACUCAUCCUAGGAGAGUCCAUAUUCUUUCUCCUAGAAGCCUUGCAGCAAGAGAAGAUGUGAGAAGCACAAGCUGUGGAGGAUCACAGCCUCCAAAGGCACAGAGGAAGAGACUAGUCUUAUGAUAAUAGUUUAAAUCUCAGGUUUGUGGGAUUUGAAGUGAGAUUUUGUGAGCCUCACAAUGCCAGUAGGCAAACCAGCCCUGUUGCUUGCUCCCAUGGUGAACUCUUCUGUAGAUGGACAUGGAUAUUGCAGUUAUUUUCUCAUUUCCAAAAUGUGUGUGUAUGCCCUGGCAGCAAGGCUGGUACAGAGGCUGCUCUUUGACAGGGUGCCAGUGACAUUCCAGGACACAAACCUUGUAAACAAGGGCAGCUGGGGAGCCACACCUCCCUGGUCAUGAUUUUUCCUGUCAUUUAUUACCAGGUAAUAUUCCAAAAUCUUGCAGACUGCACAUCAACACUGUCACUUCCCAACUGCUUUAGAGAGUUCUACACCACAAAUCAGGAGAGCCUUGGAGACUUGUGCAGCCCUUUGUACAGCCCAUGUGCAGCAAAACGAUGAAAGCUGGCCACGUCUGUGGGACAUGACAGCAUCAAUGCAGGGCAUUUCCUUCAUGCACCACAAGAGGUUCACUUGCAUUUUCCUGCAGGGAAAGGUGCUCCCAGGGAGUGUCUGGGGAAAUGCAACUUGCCUCCAAAGGAAGGGCUGCAUUUAAAGAGAUCUGGGUGACGCUGCACUCCACAAGGGCACAGCCUGUUGCAUCCUGAGAAGAAGCAGUCAUGCACUGGUGAACCCACCUGGGCUGGGGUGGCCUGCCAAUGCCUUUUGGUAGGAGACUCACAAGCAAGCCUUGUAUUCCACAGAAACCUGGAGGGCUUUCUACUGUUCUACUUGUAAGCUCAAGGUGUUGAGGGAGGAGAAGGCUGCCUAAACUUUCAUUUCCUGCCAGCGUUUCCUGUAUGAUGUAAGAACAAGAGUGGGAGCAGCAAACAGCUCCUCAAGCAUUAACUGUGUCAGGAUGUUUGAGAUUGUGUGAGGCAAUCAGUACUCAGAGGCUCGAAGCAAAGUUUUUCUCCAUGGUCUCAGCUGGAAUACCCUCUUGUUCUUGGACUCAGACCUGUGAGUUGUUGCCUUGUGUGAGAUAUGAGAUCUGCUAAGAAAUGCAUUGUAAAGUUCUUCAGCAAUGAACUAAUUAUUCUGGCACUGGAUUCUAAGCAAUAAUGAGAGUGGAGGAGGUAGAAACACCCUAGCUUGUAGCUAUUCUACUAACUUUGAUGAAGAGACACCAGACAAAACAUUUGUUACCAUCCAUUCCUGGAUUCAUCUGAGCAUUAAGGAUCUUCUGCCACUGUCAAAGAAUGAGAUGGUUUAUACAGGUUUAUACUACCCUGUAGCACUUACACUAGCAAGGCUUCAACAUGCCCACUUGAAACAACUUAGGCUGCUUUUGAUUCUCAAGGAACAUGAAAGAGAUAAACUCACUAGUAAAUUCAUGGAUUACAGCAGAAAUUAUACAGAUAGCAUAACAUCAGAUUCAGGUUCCCUACACCAAACCAGUUGUUAUGAACUUCUCCAGUGAAAGAAUAUCCUAGAAUAAAAGACAUGUUCACACUACAAGUAUGAUUCACCCUACCUUCUCCAUAAGUCUGCACAACAGCCAGACAAUUUCUAUGCCAUGAAUAGCCGAAGAAUAUGAACUAUGAACAAGAGGUGAGACCAGGAAUUCCUGUCCCAUAGACUUCCAAGUAUGAGCAGAAUGUUCCAGCCAUAUAACUAAGUGCUGGAUAUGCCCUAAAAAACAAAUAAAAAUCUCUGUGCUGUCGCUCAGAUUGUCUGCAAAGUGCUCUCUAGGAAGAUUUAUUUUACCAGCCAGGAAUUAGUACCCUUGAGUAAUUACAUCUUGGAUCUAGGAAAUAUUCAACUGGAAAGCAGUUAAAAAGCUCUCAAAAAAUUUUAAGCAAUAUAAUGGAAAAAAUAAAACAAUAGUACCAAGAAAUGUUCCCAGGCAUCAAAAUGUGUUUAUGUUGCUCAAUUGUUGCUGGGGUUCCUGGCAUAUUUCUGGCUAAUGCUAAGUAACAUUCUCCCAAAAUUUUCCCUGCCUGUGUCAGGAGAUGGCACAAGCCAUAGAUUAGACCCAUAGGUAGAAUGAAUCAGUCUGUCCCAUGCUUUGGUGGGCAAGAAAGCUCAAGAGUAUGGAUGUACCUCUAGGUCUCAGGGUUGGCAGAGUUUGAGAUACUAGCACAGAUACAGCUACUGGGACAGAAAAAGUGAAAGUAUUUUUGCUCAUCCACUCCUACCUCAUUAGUCAUACCACCAUAGCAUACUUUGGAAGACUACAGGAGACACCAGGAAACUACUGGAGACACACUUCAUACUUUUCUGGGGGAGAAAACAACAAGUAAGGAUGUCAAAGAACAUUCCCAAGUAUUCAACAGAGAAAGUAACCUGUCUCGCAUGGGUGAAUGUUACUGUGAGCCUGAGGGUCCUCAGGGGUGCUUUUUCUCACCACAGAGAAGCUGCUAUCUGUGCUCCAGGCCACAUAGAGGGAGAAGCAUUCAGCAUGUAUUUGAAGAUGUUUAGGUUUUGAUUAUUGCUAGUGACACCUGUGCCAAGGAUAAGACCACUCCUGCUGCAGUUUAACUCUCUGUAAAGAAAACUACCUGAGAGAAGGAGAAAGGAGGGCUUAGAAAGCCACCUAAUAGCUACCUUUCUUGUCCUAUUGUUAUCAAGAAAUCUCAUCAGGAUCUUUUGAGGAUAUCUGUAAAAUCAUCCUGGGUAACAAGAUGAGAAGGGGUUGAUAAGCCAUUGGCAAAGGGAUAUACAUCAGUAUUUGCAAACUGAAUAAUGGGGUGUCCUUUCUGAAAUUGCUGGUUCUCAAUGACAUCUGCAAAAGAGAGAUGAAGGAACUAGGUGCCCAACUCAGUAUCAGGUGAAAAUGGUGCCUGGGCUACAGGAACAAGACACACUCCUUAGCAUAUCCAAGUGUGGUUUUCCAGACACUUCAAUGGGGAUGAAGAGUCAUUCAAAGAGCUGUACAAACUGAUUGUCUGUGUAAUCAGUACUCACCUACCCACAGAAAUCAGAGGUCUAUGGACAGUCAAUACAGACGCCAACUACACUGUUUUAUAUUAGACUUAAAUUAGGGUGGAAUCAUGCAAAGGCUCUGGAACAACAAACCACCUGUUAGUUACACUGAGCCUCUGUGAGAUACAACUAUUGGCUCUGUCUCAUGUGUGUCAGCAUUAUCCAACCCAGCUGGUUGAAAUAUUCUGGAUUGCUUCACAGAUCUGGUACAGAUAGCCUGUCUCUGAGUCAGUGAACUGCCAGGUCACAGUGAAAACAUGUUUUUCCUCUGUGCUGUCUUUCUUCACUAGUAAUAGCCUAAUUUCCUUGGAAUUUGACAUAUACAGAUUAUGAGUGAUUUUGUACACUUUAAUCUGAUCAAUUGCUCACCGUAACUGAUCAUUCCUCAAAAGCGAAGAAAUGAAGGUAUUUCAAAAAGGAAGUCAAAUUCUUGAGUCUUCCCUUUAGGCUGCACAAGUUAUAGGAUCUAAACUCUGGCCUUAAAUGUACAAUAAAAAAAACAAAUAUGAGUGGUGACCCUGACACAAAUCAGAGCAGACUUGAUUUAGUCCGACCAUUGAAAGAGUUUGUGGGUUUUUUUCUAUUUGCCAUGCAGCCUAAGGUCAGAUUGUCCCAGCUGCAGAUAAUGCAGAACUCUUCUAUAAGUGAGGGGUAAGGUCUCAAUAAGCUCGUUUGGCUUAUUUUCCCAUAAAAGCAGUACCAAAUGAGUGGCUGACACAGGAC